CUUACAAAAUGAACUCGAAUAAAAGCGUCAGGCAGUGACUAUAGAUCAUCUCUAGCACCCUUCAUACCCUCUCGCACGAGUACACGUGUCGUAAUUCUCGUUCGUUUAAACCCUCCACCCUUAAUCUUCAUUUUCUCGUUGUGCUUUGAAUCGCAAAUGUCGCGCCCCUUCGUGGUGUAUCUCUCUUACUUCGAGGGAUCCAUAACAGAGGUCGCCUCUUUGGCUCAUCCGUUAUAAGAAUAAAGAAGAAAGAAAACACGCUCAGAAACAUUGAAAAAAAGCUUUGCAACAGGAGAAAUUCAAGACAAAAAGGACUAUAAGAGGUAUUUAAGAUAUAUAUAUAUGGUUUUUUUAUAUCUUUGCAAAGGAACAUGCAAUAUGAAAGAGAAUUAAUUCCGAUUUUUUUUGUCUUAAAUUUUCUUAAUUUUGACUUUUACAUUUCAAUUCCAUUUAGGUAUGAACACAAUGAAAAAAAUUUUUUUAAGAUAACUGAGAAAAACAAUAAAAAUUAUUAAAAUAUUACAAAUGAUAUAUAAUAUGAUAAAAAUAUGGCGAAUCAAUAUAACCUAUAAAUAUGAUCAUAUUAUUAGAUAACAAAUCACUGAAAUUAAUCUUAAUCUAUUAUUUUUUACAAAAAUUUUGUUCAAAGAGAAAGAUAUUCAUUUUGUACAAUAAGAUCGUAGACAUUAUAAGUUCAUUAUUUCCAGGAGAUAUAAAAUUCUCUUAAGAGACUUCAAUUGACUUAAGCAAGUCACCAGCCACGUUUCAUUCGCACAACAAUGAGGACAAUUAAGACUAUAUUAAUCAUCUAGGUUUCUCUCUUUCUUUAUCUCUCUUCCUUCUCUUUGACUAGUCGACAAAUUACGGUCAGUGGCCGUUUUACGGACGCAAAUUCAAUUACCGUUUCGCACAGAGACCGGCCAACAUAAAUAAUUACCAACGAAGCCAGACUCGUUCGGAAGAAGUGAAAUAGAUAAAAAGAGGGAAAGAACUUGUGAUUCUUGUGGGUUUUGUGGUCGCAAGAAUCCGAUAUUAGCGUGGUAAUAGCAUAAAUCAUUAUCUAGUAUUCGAUUGUUAUCAUGUAAGAAUCAUUAUUUCCAGCCUUUGAGACUUUCAUUAUCAAUCAAAUCUAAAACAAGGAAUUUCAAAUUUAUGUAAGAGUUCAAGUGAAGACUUUUAUAAGUUCAUUUAAGAGAAAAUUAAUUACAUCAUAUUACAUCUUCUUGAUACUUCUAAAAACAAGCGAUAUUCUAGAUGAUAAAUUUAAAUGAAAAUAGAUUUAAAAUAUCGAACUUUAUAUGGAGUUAACAUAAUGCUGCUUACAUUCGUCGCUUCGAGAAUCUACUUCAUCUAACAUUUGAACAUUCUCUCUACAAUCGUGUUCUUUUGCAAUAAUACUCCAUGGUAUUUUAUUCUCAGUACCCCUUUUUCUCUACAAUGAGUUCUUUUGUACGCGUUACUGUAUCGCCUUUUAUCAUUCUUGUUACGUUUUUCAUGUUUCUUACUCAACUAUAGUAAUGAGCAUUCAAUGGAUUUUAAAUCGUGCUUUAAAACUUCAAAUGCAUACAAGACGAAUAUAAUAGAAACGUGAUUCGACAAAAUUAAAGAAAAAUAAAGAAUGAAAUAAAUUAUCGAUAGUAUAUCGUAUAAUAUACAUAAAUAGAAAAAUUUGAAAUGAAUAAAAUAUUACUUUUCGCAAAUGUUACUUUCUCUUUCAUUCAAUGUUUUAUUUUCAAGACAGCAUCUUCUGUUUUGUAAAAAAAAUUAAAAAAAAAUAAGGAACAUA